rnacentral:rRNA from 1 species
AUGUGCAUCGACUCCACCAGGCCACGGUGGGUCGGGUACCGGUCCACCCACGCCAGCGGCAGCGUGUGGUCGGGGGUCUCCGACGCCGGCUUCACCGCGCCCUCCGAGAUCCGCGUCACCUUGAAGCUCGACGACGCCAUGGCCGCUCUCGCUCUGCUCUGGGCUUCUGUGAGGUGUGUGGAGUUUUUCAGAACAAGGCUCUGA